UACGUAGGUCCCGAGCGUUGUCCGGAUUUAUUGGGCGUAAAGCGAGCGCAGGUGGUUUCUUAAGUCUGGUGUAAAAGGCUACUGCUCAACAGUAGUAUGCAUUGGAAACUGGGAGACUUGAGUGCAGGAGAGGAGAGUGGAAUUCCAUGUGUAGCGGUGAAAUGCGUAGAUAUAUGGAGGAACACCGGAGGCGAAAGCGGCUCUCUGGCCUGUAACUGACACUGAGGCGCGAAAGCGUGGGGAGCAAACAGG
rnacentral:rRNA from 1 species